AGGAGGAAAUCGGUACCCCGCGAGGCUGGCGAAGUCGGCACAAGAAGUAGGCGGAGUAGAGGCAGCACUUGCGGGCUCAGGUGCGGCAAUCGCAAUCAAUAUUCCUGUCUGGGGUCGGCAGAGUUGGUAGAAAGCACGGUUGGCGAUAAGCUGGUACUAGUUUCAUUCUUUCUAUUCCAAAAUCCAAUACCCGGAACUGGUAAAUCAAACAAUCAUACCAGUAGUAGGAGAUACCAUAGUGACUUGGCUUUGGGGUGGUUUCUCCGUGGACAAUGCCACCUUAAAUCGUUUUUUUAG
rnacentral:rRNA from 1 species